GACGAACGCUGGCGGCGUGCUUAACACAUGCAAGUCGAACGGAAAGGCCCUGCUUUUGUGGGGUGCUCGAGUGGCGAACGGGUGAGUAACACGUGAGUAACCUGCCCUUGACUUUGGGAUAACUUCAGGAAACUGGGGCUAAUACCGGAUAGGAGCUCCUGCUGCAUGGUGGGGGGUGGAAAGUUUCGGCGGUUGGGGAUGGACUCGCGGCUUAUCAGCUUGUUGGUGGGGUAGUGGCUUACCAAGGCUUUGACGGGUAGCCGGCCUGAGAGGGUGACCGGCCACAUUGGGACUGAGAUACGGCCCAGACGCCUACGGGAGGCAGCAGUGGGGAAUAUUGCACAAUGGGCGGAAGCCUGAUGCAGCAACGCCGCGUGGGGGAUGACGGCCGUCGGGUUGUAGACCGCUUUCGCCUGUGACGAAGCGUGAGUGACGGUAAUGGGUAAAGAAGCACCGGCUAACUACGUG
rnacentral:rRNA from 1 species